UACGGAGGGUGCAAGCGUUAUCCGGAUUUACUGGGUUUAAAGGGUGUGUAGGCGGACUUUUAAGUCCGUGGUGAAAUCUCCGGGCUCAACCCGGAAACUGCCAUGGAUACUAUUUGUCUUGAAUGUUGUUGAGGUGGGCGGAACGGGUCAUGUAGCGGUGAAAUGCAUAGAUAUGACCCGGAACACCGAUUGCGAAGGCAGCCCACUAAGCAACGAUUGACGCUGAGGCACGAAAGCGUGGGGAUCAAACAGG
rnacentral:rRNA from 1 species